rnacentral:rRNA from 1 species
AUUGAACGCUGGCGGCAUGCCUUACACAUGCAAGUCGAACGGCAGCACGGGGGGUAACCCCUGGUGGCGAGUGGCGAACGGGUGAGUAAUGUAUCGGAACGUACCCUGCAGCGGGGGAUAACGCGUCGAAAGAUGUGCUAAUACCGCAUACGCUCUACGGAGGAAAGCGGAGGACCGCAAGGCUUCGCACUGCAGGAGCGGCCGAUAUCGGAUUAGCUAGUUGGCGGGGUAACGGCCCACCAAGGCGACGAUCCGUAGCUGGUCUGAGAGGACGAUCAGCCACACUGGAACUGGCACACGGUCCAGACUCCUACGGGAGGCAGCAGUGGGGAAUUUUGGACAAUGGGCGCAAGCCUGAUCCAGCAAUGCCGCGUGCAGGAAGAAGGCCUUCGGGUUGUAAACUGCUUUUGUACGGAGCGAAAAGGCUCUCUCUAAUACAGGGGGCUCAUGACGGUACCGUAAGAAUAAGCACCGGCUAACUACGUGCCAGCAGCCGCAGUAAAAC